rnacentral:rRNA from 1 species
AGUGAACGCUGGCGGUAGACCUAACACAUGCAAGUCGAACGGCAGCACAGUAAGAGCUUGCUCUUACGGGUGUCGAGUGGCGGACGGGUGAGGAAUACAUCGGAAUCUACUUUUUCGUGGGGGCUAACGUAGGGAAACUUACGCUAAUACCGCAUACGACCUACUGGUGAAAGCAGGGGAUCUUCUGACCUUGCGCUAUUGAAUGAGCCGAUGUCGGAUUAGCUAGUUGGCGGGGUAAAGGCACACCAAGGCGACGAUCCGUAGCUGGUCUGAGAGGAUGAUCCGCCACACUGGAACUGAGACACGGUCCAGACUCCUACGGGAGGCAGCAGUGGGGAAUAUUGGACAAUGGGCGAAAGCCUGAUCCAGCCAUACCGCGUGGGUGAAGAAGGCCUUCGGGUUGUAAAGCCCUUUUGUUGGGAAAGAAAAGCAGCAGGUUAAUACCCCGCUGUUCUGACGGUACCCAAAGAAUAAGCACCGGCUAACUUCGUG